rnacentral:rRNA from 1 species
GACGAACGCUGGCGGCGUGCUUAACACAUGCAAGUCGAACGGAAAGGCCCUGCUUUUGUGGGGUGCUCGAGUGGCGAACGGGUGAGUAACACGUGAGUAACCUGCCCUUGACUUUGGGAUAACUUCAGGAAACUGGGGCUAAUACCGGAUAGGAGCUCCUGCUGCAUGGUGGGGGUUGGAAAGUUUCGGCGGUUGGGGAUGGACUCGCGGCUUAUCAGCUUGUGGGUGGGGUAGUGGCUUACCAAGGCUUUGACGGGUAGCCGGCCUGAGAGGGUGACCGGCCACAUUGGGACUGAGAUACGGCCCAGACUCCUACGGGAGGCAGCAGUGGGGAAUAUUGCACAAUGGGCGGAAGCCUGAUGCAGCAACGCCGCGUGCGGGAUGACGGCCUUCGGGUUGUAACCCGCUUUCGCCUGUGACGAAGCGUGAGUGACGGUAAUGGGUAAAGAAGCACCGGCUAACUACGUG